rnacentral:rRNA from 1 species
CCUAUGGGUGGCAGCAGUGAGGAAUAUUGGUCAAUGGGCGGAAGCCUGAACCAGCCAAGUAGCGUGCAGGCUGACGGCCCUACGGGUUGUAAACUGCUUUUAUACGGGAAUAACGCGCCUUAAGUGUAGGGCUUUGCAUGUACCGGAUGAAUAAGGACCGGCUAAUUCCGUGCCGUCAGCCGCGGUAAUACGGAAGGUCCGGGCGUGAUCCGGAUUUAUUGGGUUUACAGGGAGCGUAGGCCGCAUGUCAAGCGUGCUGUGAAAUGUCCGGGAUAAACCCGGGCCUUGCAGCGCGAACUGGAGUGCUUGAGUCCGCGGAAGGCAGGCGGAAUUCGUCGUGUAGCGGUGAAAUGCUUAGAUAUGACGAAGAACCCCGAUUGCGAAGGCAGCUUGCUGCAGCGGAACUGACGCUGAUGCUCGAAAGCGCGGGUAUCGAACAGGAUUAGAUACCCCUGUAGUC